CUAGCAUGCUUAAAAACGUCCAGAUAGUUUUUUUAUGUAGCAAGACAACUUGUGAAUAUAUACUUAUUAUUUUCAAGUUAGUUAAGUAUUUAGCAUGAUGUGGGAUUCUUCAACGUCCAUUUUUCUCCGAAUUUUUGGAAACCACGACGGGAAUAUUUCCAUACAAAACUGGUCUAGGUGGGAAAUUUCGGAGGAGGGGGACGAUGAAGGCUGGCCAUGGGAAAGGUUGGACCCAGAUGGGUGGUACAAAUUUCAGGAAACCAACUGGUGGCUCCCAUUCCUCAUUGUGUUCGUUUACAUGUUAUCCAUCCCUGUUUUGAAGAAGUGGAUGAGAACAAGAGCCCCUGUGACCCAUCCAUACUUGGUCAGAACCAUGUCAUUUCAUAACUUAUUAAUUUCAAUGUACUCGGUCCUACUUUUGUGGAGAUGCAGUCCACGCCUGAUAAAAGCACUUUCGUAUCAGCAAAAUUGGUUUCAUCAUCUUGCUUGUGAAAGGGGCCAAUUGACAAGGAAAGAUAUCUUCUGGCUGAUUACAUUCUGCUGGAGUAAAGUGGUGCAUUUACUGGACACUUAUUUUCUAGUGUUGAAGAAGAAGCAUGUACCUUUCUUCCAUUUGUUUCAUCACGCGAUAGUCGUCUUUAUUCCAAUGAGCAUCGUUUCGUAUGGAGAGCCGAUUAUUUAUUUGUUUGGGUUAUUAAACAUGGCCCAACAUGCAAUUACUUAUCCAGUUUUGCUUGCCAAGACGCUAAAGGUGUCAUUAUGCUCUGCCACUUCGACGUUAUUGCUAAUUUUGGAAUUAAUUCAAAUGAUUGUUGGACUAUUUUUGGGAGGUUACACACUUUAUGUCAUAAAAAUUGGAGGAAACUGCAUUCGACAUCCAGUGAGCAUUGCGUUUCUAAACUUCAUUUUUGUGUCAUUGGGAGUUGUUGCUGCGAAACUUUUGCUUCAAAAGUUUGUGUCUGGAAGAAGAAAACUUAAAGAUAAUUAAGCUAUCAAGUACUAUCGUAAUGAAUGAGGAUACGCGUAUAAAGUGCCACAGGAAUAUGGAUAACCUCGAGUUAAUACAAGAUGCAUUCGGACAAGUGGUUAAUAAAAAGUGCUCACUAAAUUCAUAAAAUUUAUCUUAAUGUUUCAUGAAACGUACAGCACUGAGGAACAUGAAAGUAGUAUUGGUAUAAAAGGUCUAUUCCUGGGCUGACUGGAAAAUUCUUAAACCGAGUACAAAUUCACAUCUUAUGAAAAUUUCAUAAAAAGUAUCUGACACGGAUAGCAUGUCAUGCAUAUGGGAAAAAAUGGACGACGGUGGAUAAUUAAAACUGCUUAGCUGCGAUAUAAGUUAUAAAGAUUUUACUUCAUUUCCUCGUAAAAUGAAGUUUUUAACCACUUAACACUUUCAUUUGAGGAUAGUUAUUAUUUGAUCUGUUGUGCAUUUGUGUGAAUGAGUAUGACUCAUCCACAGUUUAUCACUCAAUUCAAUCGCACAAUUGCGUCAUCAUCACAUAUCCGUUAACAUUAUGUUACAGUUGCCUAAAAAUGAACGGUAUUGGACAAAACAGUGCAUUUACCUUGUUAUGCGCACACUGAUCAACCCAUGAAAUACCAAUAUCUAACGUACAAUACAAGCGUAGCUCUUUCAGUCAUCAAUGUGAUCAACCCGUAUUUUAGUCAUCAAUUGAAAACGUUUGCCAUUUGUUCAUGUCUUAAAUAAAUUCAAUAAAUAAACGACACCUUCAUUAAUUUACUAUAGUAGAUGCAUACAAAAAGGUGAGAAUGGGGGGCACUAACCGUGGUUUAGAGGAAGACAUCAAAAAAUUGUCACUUCUUAAUCUCACCGAUCGUGCUAAAGAAUCAGUCAUUGGGUUAAUUGACAUUGAUUGCUUCGAGUGUCAGUGGUUCGAGCAUGAAAAUUCAUCUCUCAAAGGAUUGCCGUGUGCAGCAGUUUCUACCAAUGAAAACGGGGAUUUCCGAAGAUUCAACUCUGUUAAUUACGAAGCUCGUUCUUUUGGCGUAUCAAGACUGCACACAUACGAAGAAGCGUUGGAACUAUGUCCCACACUGAAGUUAGUGUCCCUUCCUCGUAAGGAAGGGACAGAAAUUGGAGAUCUGCUAAAAAACGCUGCUGCCGAAGUUCACUCAUCUCUGGAAAUAUUUGCGCAAAAUAACUUUUCACAAACCUCCUGCGUGAUACAGUUUAGUCCCACGGACGAGUUUUAUGUCGACCUCACGAAACAAGUUGAGUAUAAACUUAAUAUUGAAACAAAGUUAGAGAUGGCUCGAUGCAUUUUACGUCGCAUGUUGAAGCAUAUUUUCAAGGAGACAGGAUUCGCUUGUUCUGCUGGAGUUUCAACAUCCCGUUUACGGGCAAAACUAGCAGUGGAACAAGAUCGGCCUCGUGGGGUUAGCGUUCUUCAUCCAGAUGACUGGGAUGCUUUUCUGGACGCCAGAGAAAUCAAAACUGUUCCAGGACUGAAAAAGACACUAGGAAAGCAAUUGACGGAUAAAUUUGGAAUACGCUUAAUGAAAGACUUGAGAGUAAUUUCAGACAAAGAUUUGGUAGAGAUUGGAAGAAUAAAAGGAAAACAAUUGGAAACAUUGGGGAAAAUAUUUUCUGGAGAUUUCGUUACAUAACGUUAAUCUUAUUUUAAUCAAACAUAUUGAUAGUAUAUUAUCUGUAAAACUAAGAAAUGUGGAUAUGUUACAAUUUUUAGUACCAGAAGCUGCGUAAAGAUCCCAAAAGGGAUGCAUGAUCAUGAAAGAAAGAAUAAAUAACUAAAUAAACACUAAAAACUUUUAUAAUUA